rnacentral:rRNA from 1 species
GAGUUUGAUCCUGGCUCCGGGACGAACGCUGGGCGGCGUCCCUUACCACAUGCAAGUCGAACGGAGAUGUUGAUUUCGGUUGACAUCUUAGUGGCGCACGGGUGAGUAACACGUGAAUAACCUGACCCAAAGAGGGGGAUAACAUCUGGAAACAGGUGCUAAUACCGCAUAAGACCACAAUGCCGCAUGGCGAAGGGGUCAAAGAGGAUCGCUUUGGGAGGGGUUCGCGUCCCAUUAGGUAGUAGGCGGGGUAAAGGCCCACCUAGCCGACGAUGGGUAGCCGAGCUGAGAGGCUGAUCGGCCACACUGGAACUGAGACACGGUCCAGACUCCUACGGGAGGCAGCAGUGGGGAAUAUUGGGCAAUGGGCGCAAGCCUGACCCAGCAACGCCGCGUGAGGGAAGAAGGUUUUCGGAUUGUAAACCUCUGUCGCAGAAGACGAAGGAAGUGACGGUAAUCUGUGAGGAAGCCCCGGCUAACUACGUGCCAGCAGCCGCGGUAAUACGUAGGGGGCGAGCGUUGUCCGGAAUUAUUGGGCGUAAAGGGUACGUAGGCGGUUAUGUGGGUCCGUAUUAAAAGGCAUUGGCUCAACCAAUGUUCGGUAUAGAAACUGCAUAACUUGAGUAGAUGAGGGGUAAGUGGAAUUCCUAGUGUAGCGGUGAAAUGCUUAGAUAUUAGGAGGAAUACCAGUGGCGAAGGCGACUUACUGGAAUCUAACUGACGCUGAGGUACGAAAGCGUGGGGAGCAAACAGGAUUAGACACCCUGGUAGUCCACGCCGUAAACGAUGAGUACUAGGUGUCGGGGGUUACCCCCCCCUCGGUGCCGCAGCUAACGCAUUAA